GGUCCGAACCCACGAGCGUUGAAAAGCUCGGGGAUGACUUGUGGGUAGCGGUGAAAUUCCAAUCGAGCCCGGAGAUAGCUGGUUCUCCCCGAAAUAGCUUUAGGGCUAGCCUCAAGGUGAGAGAUACGGAGGUAGAGCACUGAAUGUCCUAGGGGGUAUUGCACCUACCGAAGACUAUCAAACUCCGAAUGCCGUCAUCUUAUACUUGGGAGUCAGACUGUGGGUGAUAAGAUUCAUAGUCGAAAGGGCAACAGCCCAGAUCGUCAGCUAAGGUCCCUAAAUGUAAGUUAAGUGGUAAAGGAUGUGGGAUUGCACAGACAACCAGGAUGUUGGCUUAGAAGCAGCCACUCAUUCAAAGAGUGCGUAAUAGCUCACUGGUCGAGUGAUCCUGCGCCGAAGAUUUCCGGGGCUAAAACUUACUACCGAAGCUACGGCAUCAGUAAUGAUGGGUAGGGGAGCUUCCCAUACGGGUUGAAGCAUGACCGUAAGGACAUGUGGACAGUAUGGGAGUGAGAAUGUUGGCAUGAGUAGCGAGAUGUGGGUGAGAAUCCCACAGGCCGUAAACCCAAGGUUUCCAGGGGAAGGUGCGUCCGCCCUGGGUUAGUCGGGACCUAAGCUGAGGCCGAAAGGCGUAGGUGAUGGACAACAGGUUGAUAUUCCUGUACUACCGAUAACCGUUUGAGAGAUGGGAUGACACAGUAGGAUAAGCUAAGCACACUGUUGGUUAUGUGUGCCCAAGCAUUGAGGCAGUCAAAGUAGGCAAAUCCGCUUUGAUAAUGCUGGGAUGUGAUGGGGAGCGAAAUUUAGUAGCGAA
rnacentral:rRNA from 1 species